UGUUCAGCUUGGUGGCAAGUGU
rnacentral:piRNA from 1 species